GCGCCGCGGCUGCUGGUUUGAAGGCGAUCAGGGGUAGGUUGGGGCUCAUUGGUUUGGGGUUCUUCUACCACUGGGAGUGCGUUCACUGGGGUGCCAAGGCCCCUUUGCUACAUUAUCUGCCCCAACCAGUGGGUGGUGCUUUGUAGCUGGAAUGCGAUAGUUUGGAGGUCUUGGUUGGACAAGGCCACUGCGGGCGCGUUCCCUGUCAAGCUUGGCG
rnacentral:lncRNA from 1 species